rnacentral:tRNA from 1 species
GCCCUUAUAGCUCAAUGGAUAGAGCAGACCCGUCCUAAGGGUAAGAUUUCGGUCCGAUUCCGGAUGAGGGCACAA